UGAGCAGCUGUCGGCAUCCACAUCUAGCGACGUCCCUGUACGACAGCGCUCUGCAUCCGACGCUGAAGCGCAGGCACCACCCCCAGCCCUGAAUCCAACGCAACUACCCGAAACAACGAGGGUGCGGUCCGCGACCUUUAGUGAGCAGCUGUCAGCAUCCACCUCUGACGUCUCUGUACGGCAGCGUUCUGCAUCUGACGCUGAAGCGAACGAGAGCUUGGUGCUCCCGUCAGCUUCUAUCCCCAAGCUCGACGGCCAGGAAACGAACGCUUCAUCUGAGGUUGGUUCCAGCAGCCGCUGAGAGGAGCCCGUCGCGCCUGGCAUUGUAUUCAGGAAAUGGUCCUGUCCCUGCUCUUUAGACAACCGUAAUGGCUCAAGUAUCCUCCGCCUGCAUGUUCGAUCUUCGCUACUGAGCACACCUGCGUUUUUAAUCUGCCUGUUGCGUGGCUUUCAAACUACGUCACACAAACUAGCGUGCGCAUGUUUACAAACACUUCUGCCACCAUAAUUCUUGAAAUAAAGCUUU